GAUGAACGCUGGCGGCGUGCCUAAUACAUGCAAGUCGAGCGAACGGACGAGAAGCUUGCUUCUCGGAUGUUAGCGGCGGACGGGUGAGUAACACGUGGAUAACCUACCUAUCAGACUGGGAUAACUUCGGGAAACCGGAGCUAAUACCGGAUAAUAUUUUGAACCGCAUGGUUCAAAAGUGGAAGACGGUCUUGCUGUCACGUAUAGAUGGAUCCCGGCUGCAUUAGCUAGUUGGUAAGGUAACGGCUUACCAAGGCAACGAUGCGUAGCCGACCUGAGAGGGGGGUCGGCCACACUGGAACUGAGCCACGGUCCUGGCUCCUGCGGGAGGCAGCAGUAGGGAAUCUUCCGCAAUGGGCGAAAGCCUGACGGAGCAACGCCGCGUGAGUGAUGACGGUCUUCCGAUCGUAAAACUCUGUUAUUAGGGAAGAACAUAUGUGUAAGUAACUGUGCACAUCUUGACGGUACCUAAUCAGAAAGCCACGGCUAACUACGUG
rnacentral:rRNA from 1 species